CUUAUUGUAAAAGAAAUAUAUUUAUAUAAACUUUUUGGAAUGUUUUAAUUUCAAAACAAAUGCAGGCAAAACGUGCAUGAAAGCAAAAUUUGGCGCGAUAAAGUAUAUUUUGGCGAAUGUGACCGCGCACGUACGCAUUUAUGAUCAAUCACAUAAUUCAAAAGAAUUAUGAAAAGUAUUAUUUGCAAACAAUCUUUUGCACAAUAAAACAAUAGGAACUGAACUCUAUUUUCCAUCUAAACGAUAAAUUACUGCAACUCAAGCGCAUUUUCAAUCGGAACAAAACUUUUGAAUCGCCCUGUACACCUACAUAGAUGCGUAGACGAACGAUCUGAAAGCUUUCCGCCGCGGGAAAAUGCGCGAAGUUUUAAUGGUCUCACACUGUGCUUGCUUUACCUUGACCAUUAGGAAGUCGCCAACAAGAUGGACAAUUGGGACUAACGCCGAAGUAGCGCAAGUAUAAAGAUGUCUCCUGCCUUGUUCGAAGUAUGAUAAGUGCGUUGCUGCAAUAAGAUGAUUCCAACUUCAAAGCUGUGCAGUGUGUUGUUUGUUGGGGUUGUGAUUAUGGCGGCUAUUGGCUCAGUGGAUUCGCAGUUCACCUCAUGUAUGGGGAACCUCGGAAAACGUUUGGUCGAAAAGAAAAAGGUAAAGAACCUAAGGCCCGGACUGGUGGAUCUCUCACGAAGAAUGGUUUACAUGUACCAAGGGAGGACUCCAAGAAGGCGCCUCGAUGUAUUUACUCGUACUCCACACAUCAAGAACAUGAAAUUACGCCUUCAGCGAAAGAGAAAACAGAAUAAAGGCUAUUUAAACACGCCAGAUAAUCAACGAGUAGGAUGUUGAACUAUGCUAUUACCAAGAAUAAUAAGAUGCUAUUCAACCAAUGGUUCUCUCAGCUCAGCUCUCAGUGGAGCCGGCUGGCGUUCACAGGAAUGACAAGGCACAGGAGCUAACAAAUGCCGAAAUAGAGUGACAGAGGAGAUACUUAAUAGACCUAAUAAAACUUUCUUUGUGUGUACUUCUUUUUGUAUAUUCAAUAGAGAAUGACGCACACUUAAA